rnacentral:misc_RNA from 1 species
CGCAUCUUGCGCUCCUUGGUAUUCCGAGGAGCAUGCCUGUUUGAGUGUCGUGAAGUACUCUCAAUUUCGAUCUUUUUUGAAAUUGGAUUUGGGUGUUGUUGUGUUUCACAACUCAUCCUAAAUGCAUUAGCGAUCUGCCUUUGAUCACACACAAUGUGAUAAGAAAAAGCAUUGUUAAGCAUCAAGUCAGGGUUGCUUCGAACCGUCCUUUUGGACACCAUUCUAUGUCAUUUGACCUCAGAUCAGGCAGGACUACCCGCUGAACUUAA